rnacentral:tRNA from 1 species
GGGCGCAUAGCUCAGUUGGUUUAGAGCACCUGCCUUACAAGCAGGGGGUCGGGGGUUCGAGUCCCUCUGCGCCCACCC